rnacentral:rRNA from 1 species
CCUACGGGUGGCAGCAGUGAGGAAUAUUGGUCAAUGGGCGCGAGCCUGAACCAGCCAAGUAGCGUGAAGGAUGACUGCCCUACGGGUUGUAAACUUCUUUUAUAAAGGAAUAAAGUGAGGCACGUGGGCCUUUUUGUAUGUACUUUAUGAAUAAGGAUCGGCUAACUCCGUGCCAGCAGCCGAGGUAAUACGGAGGAUCCGAGCGUUAUCCGGAUUUAUUGGGUUUAAAGGGAGCGUAGAUGGGUUGUUAAGUCAGUUGUGAAAGUUUGCGGCUCAACCGUACAAGUGCAAUUGAUACUGGCAGCCUUGAGUACAGUUGAGGUAGGUGGAAUUCGUGGUGUAGCGGUGAAAUGCUUAGAUAUCACGAAGAACACCGAUUGCGAAGGCAACUUACUAAACUGCCACUGACACUGAUGCUCGAAAGUGUGGGUAUCAAACAGGAUUAGAUACCCUGGUAGUC